rnacentral:rRNA from 1 species
AUUGAACGCUGGCGGCAGGCCUAACACAUGCAAGUCGAACGAGUGGCGGACGGGUGAGUAAUGUCUGGGAAACUGCCUGAUGGAGGGGGAUAACUACCGGAAACGGUAGCUAAUACCGCAUACCAUCGGAUGUGCCCAGUUGGGAUUUGCUUGUUGGUGGGGUAACGGCUCACCAAGGCGACGAUCCCUAGCUGGUCUGAGAGGAUGAUCAGCCACACUGGAACUGAGACACGGUCCAGACUCCUACGGGAGGCAGCAGUGGGGAAUAUUGGACAAUGGGCGCAAGCCUGAUGCAGCCAUGCCGCGUGUGUGAAGAAGGCCUUCGGGUUGUAAAGUACUUUCAGCGGGGAGGCGUUACCCGCAGAAGAAGCACCGGCUAACUCCGUGCCAGCAGCCGCGGUAAUAC